rnacentral:rRNA from 1 species
AGCAGUCGCCACGGUAAUACGAAGGGUGCAAGCGUUAAUCGGAAUUACUGGGCAUAAAGCGUGCGUAGGCGGUGAGUUAAGUCUGCUGUGAAAUCCCCGGGCUCAACCCGGGAAUGGCAGUGGAUACUGGCUCGCUAGAGUGUGUCAGAGGAUGGUGGAAUUCCCGGUGUAGCGGUGAAAUGCGUAGAGAUCGGGAGGAACAUCAGUGGCGAAGGCGGCCAUCUGGGACAACACUGACGCUGAGGCACGAAAGCGUGGGGAGCAAACAGGAUUAGAGACCCCCGUAGUCCCUGUCUCUUAUAC